AGAGUUUGAUCCUGGCUCAGAAUCAACGCUGGCGGCGCGCUUAACACAUGCAAGUCGAACGAGAAAGGGGAGCAAUCCCUGAGUAAAGUGGCGUACGGGUGAGUAACACGUGGGUAAUCUACCUUUUGGUGGGGAAUAACGCUGGGAAACCGGCGCUAAUACCGCAUAAGCCUGAGAAGGGAAAAGAGAAAUCUGCCGAAAGAGGAGCCCGCGGCUGAUUAGCUAGUUGGUGAGGUAAAGGCUCACCAAGGCGAUGAUCGGUAGCCGGCCUGAGAGGGCACACGGCCACACUGGCACUGAAACACGGGCCAGACUCCUACGGGAGGCAGCAGUGGGGAAUCUUGCACAAUGGGGGAAACCCUGAUGCAGCGACGCCGCGUGAGCGAUGAAGCCCUUCGGGGUGUAAAGCUCUUUCGGCAGGGACGAUAAUGACGGUACCUGAAGAAGAAGCUGCGGCUAACUACGUGCCAGCAGCCGCGGUAAUACGUAGGCAGCGAGCGUUGUUCGGAGUUACUGGGCGUAAAGAGUGCGUAGGCGGUUGUCUAAGUUUGGUGUGAAAUCUCCCGGCUUAACCGGGAGGGUGCGCCGAAGACUGGGGGACUGGAGUAUGGGAGAGGUAAGCGGAAUUCCUGGUGUAGCGGUGAAAUGCGUAGAUAUCAGGAGGAACACCUGCGGUGUAGACGGCUUACUGCACCAUAACUGACGCUGAGGCACGAAAGCGUGGGUAGCAAACAGGAUUAGAUACCCUGGUAGUCCACGCCCUAACGAUGCAUACUUGGGUGUGGGUAGUUCAUUCUA
rnacentral:rRNA from 1 species